GAUGAAGAACGUAGCGAAAUGCGAUAAGUAAUGUGAAUUGCAGAUUUCAGUGAAUCAUCGAAUCUUUGAACGCACCUUGCGCCUUGUGGUAUUCCACAAGGCAUGCCCGUUUGAGUAUCAUUAAAUCAUCAACUCUAAAACCUUUGUGGUUUUUUUAGAGCUUGGUCUUGAGGGUUUUGCAGGCUUUUUUUUUUUCGAGUCUGCUCCCUUUAAAUGCAUUAGCGAGACUUCCCUAUGCUGAACCGUCUCUUUGACGUGAUAACUAUCUGCGUCGAAUUUUGGUUCUCGUUGGGCUUGCUUCUAAUCGUCUGUUAAAGACAAAACGGAUUUGGGUGCAUAUAUGCGCCUUUUUCCAAAACCUUUUUUGAUCUCAAAUCGGGUAGGACUACCCGCUGAACUUAAGCAUAUCAAUAAGCGGAGGA
rnacentral:misc_RNA from 1 species